rnacentral:rRNA from 1 species
CGGGAUAACACCUGGAAACAGAUGCUAAUACCGGAUAACAACAGAUGAUGCCUAUCAACUGUUUAAAAGAUGGUUCUGCUAUCACUCUUGGAUGGACCUGCGGUGCAUUAGCUAGUUGGUAGGGUAACGGCCUACCAAGGCGAUGAUGCAUAGCCGAGUUGAGAGACUGAUCGGCCACAUUGGGACUGAGACACGGCCCAAACUCCUACGGGAGGCAGCAGUG